AAGCAUAUCAAUAAGCGGAGGAAAAGAAACUAACAAGGAUUCCCCUAGCAACUGCGAGUGAAGCGGGAAAAGCUCAAAUUUGAAAUCUGGCAGUCUUUUUUUUCUUCUUUGGCUGUCCGAGUUGUAAUCUAGAGAAGCGCUUACCUGCGCUGGACCAUGUACAAGUCUCCUGGAAUGGAGCGUCGCAGAGGGUGAGAAUCCCGUCUUUGACAUGGACCGCCAGCGUGUUGUGGUGCGCUCUCAAAGAGUCGAGUUGUUUGGGAAUGCAGCUCUAAACGGGUGGUAAACUCCAUCUAAAGCUAAAUAUUGGCGAGAGACCGAUAGCGAACAAGUACCGUGAGGGAAAGAUGAAAAGGACUUUGGAAAGAGAGUUAAACAGUAUGUGAAAUUGUUGAAAGGGAAACGCUUGAAGUCAGUUGUGUCGGUGAGGGAUCAGCCUGGCUUCGUUGCUGGGUGAAUUUCCUAGCCUGACAGGCCAACAUCAGUCUUGACUGCCAGAAAAGAGCGGAGGGAACGUGGCACCUUUGGGUGUGUUAUAGCCCUUUGUCGUGUGUGGCGGUCGGGACUGAGGGACGCAGCGUGCCGCGAGGCCGGGUUUCGACCACGUUCACGCUUAGGAUGUUGGCUUUUAAUGGCUUCAAUCGACCCGUCUUGAAACACGGACCAAGGAGUCUAACAUGCCUGCGAGUGUUUGGGUGGAAAACCCUUGCGCGCAAUGAAAGUGAAAGUUGAGAUCCCUGUCGUGGGGAGCAUCGACGCCCGGACUUGAGCUUUCAGCGACGGAUCCGCGGUGGAGCAUGCAUGUUGGGACCCGAAAGAUGGUGAACUAUGCCUGAAUAGGGCAAAGCCAGAGGAAACUCUGGUGGAGGCUCGUAGCGAUUCUGACGUGCAAGUCGAUCGUCAAAUUUGGGUAUAGGGGCGAAAGACUAAUCGAACCGUCUAGUAGCUGGUUCCUGCCGAA
rnacentral:rRNA from 1 species